rnacentral:rRNA from 1 species
UUAAAUUGAAGAGUUUGAUCAUGGCUCAGAUUGAACGCUGGCGGCAGGCCUAACACAUGCAAGUCGAACGGUAACAGGAAACAGCUUGCUGUUUCGCUGACGAGUGGCGGACGGGUGAGUAAUGUCUGGGAAACUGCCUGAUGGAGGGGGAUAACUACUGGAAACGGUAGCUAAUACCGCAUAACGUCGCAAGACCAAAGAGGGGGACCUUCGGGCCUCUUGCCAUCGGAUGUGCCCAGAUGGGAUUAGCUUGUUGGUGGGGUAACGGCUCACCAAGGCGACGAUCCCUAGCUGGUCUGAGAGGAUGACCAGCCACACUGGAACUGAGACACGGUCCAGACUCCUACGGGAGGCAGCAGUGGGGAAUAUUGCACAAUGGGCGCAAGCCUGAUGCAGCCAUGCCGCGUGUAUGAAGAAGGCCUUCGGGUUGUAAAGUACUUUCAGCGGGGAGGAAGGGAGUAAAGUUAAUACCUUUGCUCAUUGACGUUACCCGCAGAAGAAGCACCGGCUAACUCCGUGCCAGCAGCCGCGGUAAUACGGAGGGUGCAAGCGUUAAUCGGAAUUACUGGGCGUAAAGCGCACGCAGGCGGUUUGUUAAGUCAGAUGUGAAAUCCCCGGGCUCAACCUGGGAACUGCAUCUGAUACUGGCAAGCUUGAGUCUCGUAGAGGGGGGGAGAAUUCCAGGUGUAGCGGUGAAAUGCGUAGAGAUCUGGAGGAAUACCGGUGGCGAAGGCGGCCCCCUGGACGAAGACUGACGCUCAGGUGCGAAAGCGUGGGGAGCAAACAGGAUUAGAUACCCUGGUAGUCCACGCCGUAAACGAUGUCGACUUGGAGGUUGUGCCCUUGAGGCGUGGCUUCCGGAGCUAACGCGUUAAGUCGACCGCCUGGGGAGUACGGCCGCAAGGUUAAAACUCAAAUGAAUUGACGGGGGCCCGCACAAGCGGUGGAGCAUGUGGUUUAAUUCGAUGCAACGCGAAGAACCUUACCUGGUCUUGACAUCCACGGAAGUUUUCAGAGAUGAGAAUGUGCCUUCGGGAACCGUGAGACAGGUGCUGCAUGGCUGUCGUCAGCUCGUGUUGUGAAAUGUUGGGUUAAGUCCCGCAACGAGCGCAACCCUUAUCCUUUGUUGCCAGCGGUCCGGCCGGGAACUCAAAGGAGACUGCCAGUGAUAAACUGGAGGAAGGUGGGGAUGACGUCAAGUCAUCAUGGCCCUUACGACCAGGGCUACACACGUGCUACAAUGGCGCAUACAAAGAGAAGCGACCUCGCGAGAGCAAGCGGACCUCAUAAAGUGCGUCGUAGUCCGGAUUGGAGUCUGCAACUCGACUCCAUGAAGUCGGAAUCGCUAGUAAUCGUGGAUCAGAAUGCCACGGUGAAUACGUUCCCGGGCCUUGUACACACCGCCCGUCACACCAUGGGAGUGGGUUGCAAAAGAAGUAGGUAGCUUAACCUUCGGGAGGGCGCUUACCACUUUGUGAUUCAUGACUGGGGUGAAGUCGUAACAAGGUAACCGUAGGGGAACCUGCGGUUGGAUCACCUCCUUACCUUAAAGAAGC